rnacentral:rRNA from 1 species
UACGUAGGUGGCAAGCGUUGUCCGGAAUUAUUGGGCGUAAAGCGCGCGCAGGCGGUCCUUUAAGUCUGAUGUGAAAGCCCACGGCUCAACCGUGGAGGGUCAUUGGAAACUGCGGGACUUGAGUACAGAAGAGAAGAGUGGAAUUCCACGUGUAGCGGUGAAAUGCGUAGAGAUGUGGAGGAACACCAGUGGCGAAGGCGGCUCUUUGGUCUGUAACUGACGCUGAGGCACGAAAGCGUGGGGAGCAAACAGG